rnacentral:misc_RNA from 1 species
CGGUUCGAGUCCGCUUACCUCCACUGAUCAACUACCUAAUAACUCUUUUUAAUGGAGAUGGUUUAUUGGUUUUGUGAUUUAGGUGUUGUUCGCUGAAUGAACCUAGCUUCAUAUCAUUCCUUAAAUCAAUAGAUUUUUUGAGGCUGAUAAGACGCUGGGCUCUCUGUAUUUCUUAAAUGAAUUACUAGAAAGUUCAGUA